UAGGAAGAAGUAUAGUGGAAGUACAGAGAGUUUUGAUCUCUCAGGGGUAGGUUCAAUUCCUAUUUUUCUAA
rnacentral:tRNA from 1 species